CCAUACAUAUAAAAUUCAUUUAUAUCAUAUUUCAUAUUUUUAAAUUCAUGCCAUAAUAAAAUCAUUUUUGAAUUUAUACCAUACAUAAAAUCUCUUUCAUACCAUAUUAAAAUAAUGGCUAAUUUGACAUUAAGCUUAAAUCAAACCCAAAAGGUGAAUUGGUCAACUUGACUAGGUUGACCGGCUCAAAUCUGAUAAAUUGUAAAGAAGUCCUCCAAAUUAUUGUUGUGGCACUUGCAUCCAAUUUGGUACAAUUUGAACAAUUUGACCGAAUGGUUAUCUUUGAUCAAAUCCGGUUCGACUUGAGCUACUUUAAAUUCAACUACAACCUAAAAUUGCUAAGUAACAAAUUAAAUCCAAAAUUUGUUUGUUAUCAUCAAAAUUUAUUAGUGAAUAAAAUCCAACAGUUU
rnacentral:lncRNA from 1 species